rnacentral:rRNA from 1 species
UGGCGAACGGGUGAGUAACACGUGAGCAACCUGCCCUUGACACUGGAAUAACAGUUGGAAACAGCUGCUAAUACCGGGUAUGACCUGUCACCGCAUGGUGGUGGGUGGAAAGCCCUGGCGGUCAAGGAUGGGCUCGCGGCCUAUCAGCUAGUUGGUGAGGUAAUGGCUCACCAAGGCUUCGACGGGUAGCCGGCCUGAGAGGGCGACCGGCCACACUGGGACUGAGAUACGGCCCAGACUCCUACGGGAGGCAGCAGUGGGGAAUAUUGCACAAUGGGCGAAAGCCUGAUGCAGCAACGCCGCGUGCGGGAUGACGGCCUUCGGGUUGUAAACCGCUUUCAGUAGGGACGAAGCUAACGUGACGGUACCUACAGAAGAAGCACCGGCCAACUACGUGCCAGCAGCCGCGGUGAUACGUAGGGUGCGAGCGUUGUCCGGAAUUAUUGGGCGUAAAGGGAUUGUAGGCGGUCCGUCGCGUCGAAAGUGAAAACUCAGGGCUCAACCCUGAGCCUGCUUUCGAUAC